rnacentral:rRNA from 1 species
UACGUAGGGUGCAAGCGUUGUCCGGAAUUAUUGGGCGUAAAGAGCUCGUAGGCGGUUUGUCGCGUCUGCUGUGAAAACCCGAGGCUCAACCUCGGGCCUGCAGUGGGUACGGGCAGACUAGAGUGCGGUAGGGGAGAUUGGAAUUCCUGGUGUAGCGGUGGAAUGCGCAGAUAUCAGGAGGAACACCAAUGGCGAAGGCAGAUCUCUGGGCCGUAACUGACGCUGAGGAGCGAAAGCAUGGGG